rnacentral:rRNA from 1 species
UACGUAGGGUGCGAGCGUUUAAUCGGAAUUACUGGGCGUAAAGCGUGCGCAGGCGGUUCUAUAAGACAGAUGUGAAAUCCCCGGGCUCAACCUGGGAACUGCAUUUGUGACUGUAGAGCUGGAGUACGGCAGAGGGGGAUGGAAUUCCGCGUGUAGCAGUGAAAUGCGUAGAUAUGCGGAGGAACACCGAUGGCGAAGGCAAUCCCCUGGGCCUGUACUGACGCUCAUGCACGAAAGCGUGGGGAGCAAACAGG